UAAAGGAAGAGCUCGAAGUGUGUGCAAAGUGGAAGAGGGUCUCGGGCAGGCACGGGUCGGAAGGCAGGGCAGGUUGUUCAAGCCAAACCGGGAAAGACCAGCCCAGAGCAGGAGGGAAGAACUACCUGGCGGGGAGCAGGAGGAGAGCUGCCAUCAUCGAGGGCAGCCCGGCAACGUUCAGGGUGGUCUGAACAGCUCUAUUCCGCACUGAGACAACAGGACAGCGUUUGUGUGUAUGUUUAUUCACUCAUUCUCCAACCACUGAGCAGCUACUAUGUGCUAGGCAUGGUGCUAGAUGCUGGGGAUUUGACACUGAACAAGAUAGAUCCGGUCUCUGCCCAGCAGUGCUUUCUGUUCAAGUGGCAGAAUCUGUUUCUCUAUCUGUUGAAUCUGGGCUUGGCUGUAUGACCUUAUUGGACAAAUGGGACACAAGCAAAUUUGACAAAGAAGAAGCUCUUGCUGGAACUCUGGAUAAGCGUGUGAGCAAGCCUGUUCCUGCCACACUGAGGAUGAGAGGGACUAUAAGAAAAGAAGCUCUGGCCACACCCUUGGUCCAGCAUUCCACUUGAGGGCCCCGGAUAUAUAAGUGAGGCCAUCUCAGACCAUCUAGCCCCAACCAAACCAGCCCGGACCAGAAGAACCACCCUAACAACCCACAGAAUCGUGAACUAUAAUAAAUAUUUGUUAUUUUACAUCA